rnacentral:rRNA from 1 species
UACGAAGGGUGCAAACGUUGCUCGGAAUUAUUGGGCGUAAAGCGCACGUAGGCGGCUUGGCAAGUCGGAUGUGAAAUCCCUCGGCUCAACCAAGGAAGUGCAUCCGAAACUGCUGAGCUUGAGUACUUAAGAGGAUCGCGGAAUUCCCGGUGUAGAGGUGAAAUUCGUAGAUAUCGGGAGGAACACCAGUGGCGAAGGCGGCUUACUGGACAGGUCCUGACACUGAGACGCGAAAGCGUGGGUAGCAAACAGG